CUUGGACCAACUGAUAUGGCCAAUCGCUUAAAAGUGAUCAAUUCUUUUGGCAUGCAUGCCAAGUAUAAUUCAAAAUACGAUAUCGUCAUGAGAUUUGGGUUUUUAAUUAUUUCAGUUCUUUUUGGUGUUAUUCAGUUAAGUGCGUCACAAUCACCAGAAAUGUGUCGACAAUCGCCAUUCAGAGGACCUUGUGCUUUGGAACUUAGACGUUGGUAUUACAAUAUGGAUAUCGAAAAAUGUGAUACAUUUAUAUACGGCGGUUGCGAAACUAACGGAAAUAUGUUCAAAACAGAAUAUUUAUGCAAACGGACGUGCAUUUGAAUGGAAUAUUCUCUACGUAUUCGUAUCUGUGUUUAUUCGUUUUAAAUAUGUUUAUUAAUUUGUUUAUUCGUUUUCAAAUAUUUUGUUUGUACAAUAAUCAAAUGUUUUGGAAUCAAUCA